UAGCCUACGGGGGGCAGCAGUGGGGAAUAUUGCACAAUGGGGGAAACCCUGAUGCAGCGACGCCGCGUGAGCGAAGAAGUAUUUCGGUAUGUAAAGCUCUAUCAGCAGGGAAGAAAAUGACGGUACCUGACUAAGAAGCUCCGGCUAAAUACGUGCCAGCAGCCGCGGUAAUACGUAUGGAGCAAGCGUUAUCCGGAUUUACUGGGUGUAAAGGGAGCGUAGGCGGUAAGGCAAGUCUGAUGUGAAAGCCCGGGGCUCAACCCCGGGACUGCAUUGGAAACUACCGAACUAGAGUGUCGGAGAGG
rnacentral:rRNA from 1 species